CCCUUAGAUGUUCUGGGCCGCACGCGCGCUACACUGAUGCAUUCAACGAGUCUAAAACCUGGUCUGAGAGGGCUGGGUAAUCUUUUGAAAGUGCAUCGUGAUUGGGAUAGAUGAUUGCAAUUCUUCAUCUUCAACGAGGAAUGCCUAGUAAACGCAAGUCAUCAGCUUGCAUUGAUUACGUCCCUGCCCUUUGUACACACCGCCCGUCGCUCCUACCGCUUGAACGAUCCGAUGAAAACUGUGGAUUGAGAGUCUGAGUGGGUUCGCCUACCUCAACUUUCGAGAAGCGGUUUAAAUCUUAUCGUUUAGAGGAAGGAGAAGUCGUAACA
rnacentral:rRNA from 1 species